rnacentral:rRNA from 1 species
CUACGUGCCAGCAGCCGCGGUAAUACGUAGGGGGCUAGCGUUAUCCGGAUUUACUGGGCGUAAAGGGUGCGUAGGUGGUCCUUCAAGUCGGUGGUUAAAGGCUACGGCUCAACCGUAGUAAGCCGCCGAAACUGGAGGACUUGAGUGCAGGAGAGGAAAGUGGAAUUCCCAGUGUAGCGGUGAAAUGCGUAGAUAUUGGGAGGAACACCAGUAGCGAAGGCGGCUUUCUGGACUGCAACUGACACUGAGGCACGAAAGCGUGGGUAGCAAACAGGAUUAGAUACCCUGGUAGUCCACGCUGUAAACGAUGAGUACUAGGUGUCGGGGGUUACCCCCCUCGGUGCCGCAGCUAACGCAUUAAGUACUCCGCCUGGGGAGUACGCACGCAAGUGUGAAACUCAAGGGAAUUGACGGGGACCCGCACAAGUAGCGGAGCAUGUGGUUUAAUUCGAAGCAACGCGAAGAACCUUACCUAAGCUUGACA